UUAUUACUUUUGUCAUUUACUGGAAUAAAGACUCUGUUUUCGUUAAGUCGCUUUUGGGUCCUCAUUCACCAGCAUAACAAAAGGCCACUGAACCCAGACGUGGCGCCUGCACAAUGCAAGUAGUACUAAUUAUUAAGGUGGUUGUCAGCAUGACCUUCAACUGCACAAUAUGCAUGAAUUCAAAAACGUUCUGCUGAGUUGGACCUAGAAAAUGUAGCCUAGAUAGUAUCACUUCUUUAUGUCCCUUGUAAAACCGGUUCUACUACCAGCAAGUAAAUACACUUCUCUCCACAGUUCUGAGGGAAACACAUUCACCCAAAAGCACCUUUUUACUGAAUGACUGUAGACAAAUAAUUUACAAUUGAUAGUCUUUUAACAUCCCCCACAAACCAAAUAGUUGUAACCUACAACUAGAUGCGAACUCAUCGAACUGAACAAAUCGAACUGAACAAAUAAAAGAGCAAUGGACUUUUAAAAACGUCCCUAACAUUCCCCGUAUACAACUGUACAUGUUGGUUUCACUCUAAGGAAGGUUUCCUUCAUUAAAUACCUCUCUUCCUUUUUUCUAUCUCUACAAUUAAUGGACAAAUGGAUUUAGUUAAAUUAAUCUAACACCAAUACAACUAUUUGCAGUUUAGCAGUAUUAUCAUGAUGAAUUUUUCAGACUACUAGGACAGAUGGUAAACAGAAUGUAAAUCUAAACCUGCAAACCUUGGCUAUUUUCAAUUCUCUGUCUGUUUCGUUAAAAAAACUGCAAAAAUACUGCAGGGACUUUCCUAGUCAUAUAACACAUGCAGAACCUGCUCCACCUGUCCCACCAUGCCUUACUGCCCUCCUGAUCUAACAGAACUGGACAGGGGAAAACAAAUACCAUGAUGCUUUCUCCUGUUCAGAUCAAUGACAAUGAAAGAAAGGAGAUAGAGGAAGCCACUGUAGACUAUUGAGAUGCACCCCUACAGUUGGCUGUGGCUGCCUUGUUAUCAGUCUUGUGUUUCUCUCCCUCAGGAAUGGCAGACAAAGGAGCGGACCUCACUUAUGACUCCACUGUCUGAUGAAGAAACAAAGCCGCUUGAUGACAAUGGAUCCUCCUCAAGAGGUCAAAGGGCAGACAAACCUCUCAGGCAGUAACAUCCCAGUCUGCUUCAGUGGCCCAGAAAUCAGGAGCAAACCAAGAUUCAGCUGGAAAGGUAAGAGAUAGCAUAUUAUAAUCAAACCCAGACUCAGAGAUGGAUAGGUAAGAGAUAGCAUAUUAUAAUCAAACCCAGACUCAGAGAUGGAUAGGUAAGAGAUAGCAUAUUAUAAUCAAACCCAGACUCAGAGAUGGAUAGGUAAGAGAUAGCAUUAUCAUAAUCAACCCCAGACUCAGAGAUGGAUAGGUAAGAGAUAGCAUUAUCAUAAUCAACCCCAGACUCAGAGAUGGAUAGGUAAGAGAUAGCAUUAUCAUAAUCAACCCCAGACUCAGAGAUGGAUAGGUAAGAGAUA